AUUGAACGCUGGCGGCAGGCCUAACACAUGCAAGUCGAACGAGUGGCGGACGGGUGAGUAAUGUCUGGGAAUCUGCCUGAUGGAGGGGGAUAACUACUGGAAACGGUAGCUAAUACCGCAUACCAUCGGAUGUGCCCAGCUGGGAUUAGCUAGUUGGUGGGGUAAAGGCUCACCUAGGCGCCGAUCCCUGGCUGGUCUGAGAGGAUGACAAUCCACACUGGAACGGUGACACGGUCCAUACUCCUACGGGAGGCAGCAGUGGGGAAUAUUGCACAAUGGGCGCAAGCCUGAUACAGCCAUGCCGCGUGUAUGAAGAAGGCCUUCGGGUUGUAAAGUACUUUCAGCGGGGAGGCGUUACCCGCAGAAGAAGCACCGGCUAACUCCGUGCCAGCAGCCGCGGUAAUUC
rnacentral:rRNA from 1 species